UACGUAGGGGGCAAGCGUUGUCCGGAAUUAUUGGGCGUAAAGAGCGCGUAGGCGGUCCGGUAAGUCAGCUGUGAAAGUCAAGGGCUCAACCCUUGAAAGCCGGCUGAUACUGCCGGACUAGAGUCCGGAAGAGGCGAGUGGAAUUCCCGGUGUAGCGGUGAAAUGCGCAGAUAUCGGGAGGAACACCAAUGGCGAAGGCAGCUCGCUGGGACGGACUGACGCUGAGGCGCGAAAGCG
rnacentral:rRNA from 1 species